rfam:Gossypium raimondii chromosome 13, whole genome shotgun sequence.
GGGAUUGUUGUUCAAUUUGUCAGAGAACUGCCCUGUCAAGGCGAAAGUUGCGGGUUCAAGUCUCAUCAGUCCCG